UAAAUUCAUAAUUUCUUUUACAUUACAAAUCCAUCAGAUGUAAGAUUAAGUUGUAAAAGGAUUGAUCAGGAAUUAUUAACAAGCCCAGCUGUCUGGAGUCAGAACUUGUGAAGACAAUUACCACAUCUAUCUGCAACCAAAGUGAAAUACUCACACACUAAAUCAUGACUGCGUGUCUAAGAUAAGUUAUUAAUUUACCGCAGCCUAGCUCUACUGAACAGAUGUACUUUGAUGUCAUCAUUCCUUAGAUCUUAUUGGACACUGACAGUAAGAAUUAGGCUACCGAUGUUAGACGACAUUGGACUGUAUUGACACCAUUAUUGCUGUAUCCUGCGCACUAACAAACCAGGUUUCCAACAAGAAGACAUUAACAUAUCAGACACAGAUAUAAGACUCUCCAAAACUCCUGUAGGAUCCAAUGUAAGUAUUGCAUCAGGUCUAAAGGGGAAUUCUGCUCGGAGGAACAAGAGCUGCAAUGUGAAAUUGUAUAUCUGGAAGCAGCAACAGCAGAGACGCAUAUGAGUGCGCACCGAUUUGUACCCUCUGGGGUGCGGACAACAAAUGAGGAAACCCGGUCAGAUAUGUCCGGGAAAGAGAUGGCCAGACAUAAGUUCCACAGAGGUUUUUUUUCUCACAAGACGGGGAUUCAUUCAGCACUUGCCUUCUACUACUUCUCUGCUCGUCUCAGGGUCCCCAAGAACUGAUCGUGGGACCGGUGCGUUUGACGCACAUCUUUUCCCGGGAAGAUGCUACCCUGUCUAUAACGGGGGUCAGCUGUUGCGGGCCCAAUCUGAAAGUGACCUGUUGGCUGGGCCAGAGGCUGCAACACAGGACAUGGGUCCUGCUUCCCCUUCCCGCUCGUGUCUUGUGUUGCAGCCAGUGGAGUAGCCUGUCUGCUGGUCUGUCUGCUCAUCGCUGGUGGACUGAGCUCCAGAAUCAACGGCGUAGGUUUCCUUUCAGCACUGCUUCAAAAUAAAUGCCCUCUGCUACUUUUUAUGUUUUUAGGGGGAACAAUGCAAUGCACACGUUCUAAAUAUUAUUAUGAUUACUAAAUACUAAGUAUGUAUACUGUCCAUGUAUGUAUGUACUGUAUGUGUGCUCCUUGCUUUGCAGCUAACUUGUACCUUGUCAAGUGUAGUUUUCAUAUUCCACAUAUUGUCCUCUCUCACAGUUUAAAUAAUAAAUGAUUUAGUUCAGAGAAAAA